UCCCAAAACUACAGCCAAACAAAAUAAGUGAAAAGUUGUUCUCUCAGCACAAAUUCCAAACAGAGCAUCUGUCUGCUUCUUUACAUUUUUUUGGUAAAUUACAAUGGUCUCUACCAAGGUUUGCCUUUCAUACAACUUCCCCCUCGGGCCCUCACGUUCUUAAAAUUACAAUGACCUCUUUUACAAUGUUUGUUAUUUAAUAGAGGUUUGGCUGAGCUGUUGUGACCAGUGCGUGCUCUCAUUGCCAUAUUGUAUGCCACUGACCGACAAACACCGUCACCGGCAAUGACUACAGACGCCACUUUGUUUAUCUAGUAAUUGCCCGUGCCCACGGAUAAUGAAUAUCAAAUCGGAAAAAACUAAUUUUGAGUCUUCAAAAAAAAGAACGUUUUACACUGAUUAAACGAUUUAUAAAUAAGUCUUUAAAUUUUGCAUUUUGUCUUCUCAGGAAAUCUUCAAGCACUUCUCAAUUGUGAAUUCUCAAUUGUAUGAGUAUUUAGAAAAUAUAAUCAGAAAAGGGGGAAGGAAAAAACGAAAAAGAAUUCAAGCAAUCUAUUUGGUUCCCUAAAACAUUUGAAUGCACAUGACUUGCUAUCCUCAAAACAA
rnacentral:lncRNA from 1 species